AGUAAAAUAUAGGCUACAAGGGAUCAAAAGUAAAAGUAGCAUGGCAGAGAAGUUAAAGGUCUAUCACUGAUCAAGAAAGGGAUUUUCCUGAUAAUCCUGCAUGUGGUAGCCCUUGAACACCAAAAAGUGUGUAUAAAUUACCUUAACUGUAAGGUAACGGAAGUGUUUUGCAUAUUAUUUUUUUUACUGUAAAUAGUCUCGAUUGUGGUGUUUUUCUUUGGGUUGUUAUGUUUUCUCUGCUUGCCUGGCACGAGGACACCCUCCAAACGCACCUGAGGCGCAUCUCCUAAUUAGGAGAGAAACGUUGGAUUGGCACGAGGACACUCUCCAAACACACGUGAAGCGCAUUCCCUAAUCAGGACAGAGACGUGAGAUCGACAGCUACUGAUAAAAAAAAAAAAAAAAAAAGUUUAAUGUUGGGGCGACCUCAGUUCUUGACAACAAAGGCUAAAUUCAGCUAGUUAGCAUAUUUCUGCAAAUAUAUUUGCAUUGCAAAGUUUGACAAUUUCAGCUUAUCAACAAUGCAAAUGGGUCUUGUUGCAUCUACAGUAUGAUUACCAAACAGUGUGCAGAAGCGAGAAUGCAUGUUUUGACAAAACACUUUUUGCUAAAGCUCAACUGAGCUAACUCUUCUCAAGCUACACCUUUCUAAAGAAGAUGAUUUACAGAGUGGUGUUGCCAGCGUUGCUUCAUGGGGAGGUGGUGUAUGUUGCCCACCAGAGGGGGCUGCUGACAGCAGAUGAUUGGGACCGCAGCAUCCACUGCAUGCUGAGACUGGAGCUGCCUGUGUGGCACCAGAACUGCACCCUGGCUGGCCCUGGUGCAGCCCUGAAGUAACGUUGGAAGAACUCUGCUGGCCCUCUGAGGAUGCCUCUACCCACAGGACUGGGAUAUGCAGGUGACGAUUGGCAUGCUCAAGCUUCUUCUGGCGAGUCUCCAGGUCCUUGGCCCUCUGCUGUUCCCGCUGUAGUUUCCUGAUGUAGUCCACUGAUGCCUUCAGGAUGGUGCCUUUGUUCCAGCGCAUGUCCCUGAAAAUCAAAGGCAGGAGUUGCUGAUGGGUAGACCUUGCUGGGACAUACUCUGAUUACCAUACAUGUCCAUGAGGUUAGCAUUCAAGGGGAUCUGAGG